rnacentral:rRNA from 1 species
UGGGGAAUUUUGGACAAUGGGGGAAACCCUGAUCCAGCCAUCCCGCGUGUGCGAUGAAGGCCUUCGGGUUGUAAAGCACUUUUGGCAGGAAAGAAACGUCAUGGGUUAAUACCCCGUGAAACUGACGGUACCUGCAGAAUAAGCACCGGCUAACUACGUGCCAGCAGCCGCGGUAAUACGUAGGGUGCAAGCGUUAAUCGGAAUUACUGGGCGUAAAGCGUGCGCAGGCGGUUCGGAAAGAAAGAUGAGAAAUCCCAGAGCUCAACUUUGGAACUUCAUUUUUAACUACCGGGCUAGAGUGUGUCAGAGGGAGGUGGAAUUCAGCGUGUAGCAGUGAAAUGCGUAGAUAUGCGGAGGAACUCCGAUGGCGAAGGCAGCCUCCUGGGAUAACACUGACGCUCAUGCACGAAAGCGUGGGGAGCAAACAGG